AUGAUGUGGAAGGUGGAAACUAUAGAGAGAAUCAGGUUGAAAGGUGAGAAUCUAAUCCUCUCCAUUUUCUGUUGCUUUUCUAUUAUGAAAACCUUCUUCCUCUCUGUCUCUCCCUUUCUGUUAUAUCAUUUGGUCGCUGAGUUAGUUAGAAAAGCGGUUAGGGAAUUAGAGGUAGUUAGAAACUGUUAG